GGGACACGUGGUAUCCUGUCUGAAUAUGGGGGGACCAUCCUCCAAGGCUAAAUACUCCUGACUGACCGAUAGUGAACCAGUACCGUGAGGGAAAGGCGAAAAGAACCCCGGCGAGGGGAGUGAAAAAGAACCUGAAACCGUGUACGUACAAGCAGUGGGAGCACCUUCGGGUGUGACUGCGUACCUUUUGUAUAAUGGGUCAGCGACUUAUAUUCUGUAGCAAGGUUAACCGUAUAGGGGAGCCGCAGGGAAACCGAGUCUUAACUGGGCGUUAAGUUGCAGGGUAUAGACCCGAAACCCGGUGAUCUAGCCAUGGGCAGGUUGAAGGUUGGGUAACACUAACUGGAGGACCGAACCGACUAAUGUUGAAAAAUUAGCGGAUGACUUGUGGCUGGGGGUGAAAGGCCAAUCAAACCGGGAGAUAGCUGGUUCUCCCCGAAAGCUAUUUAGGUAGCGCCUCGUGAAUUCAUCUUCGGGGGUAGAGCACUGUUUCGGCUAGGGGGUCAUCCCGACUUACCAACCCGAUGCAAACUACGAAUACCGAAGAAUGUUAUCACGGGAGACACACGGCGGGUGCUAACGUCCGUCGUGAAGAGGGAAACAACCCAGACCGCCAGCUAAGGUCCCAAAGUCACAGUUAAGUGGGAAACGAUGUGGGAAGGCACAGACAGCCAGGAUGUUGGCUUAGAAGCAGCCAUCAUUUAAAGAAAGCGUAAUAGCUCACUGGUCGAGUCGGCCUGCGCGGAAGAUGUAACGGGGCUAAACUGUGCACCGAAGCUGCGGCAGCGACACUUA
rnacentral:rRNA from 1 species